ACCAUUACACUGAACAAUGGCCCUAAAACAGUCCAUCAUUCCACUAAUCAUUACAUAACAUUAGAUCCCCUUAUAAAGUGCCCUUAUGGCACCAUGUCCUCUAUAACCAAAUAGCUGCAGAGACUCGUAUUUUAGUACCAGUUAUUAUGGAUCGAAAAGUCCGACUCUCGUCUACAUUUACCAAAACCCUUUCUCGUCUCCUCCUUUCUCUGCAACUUUUCCUCUCUCGCAACACACACUCUCUCUCUCUCUCUUGCCCGCGCGCGCUUUUCAGCUGCACUUUAUACUCGCGGAUUCCA